rnacentral:lncRNA from 1 species
GGGGCUGUAAGUGUAAGGCUGUAAAGUGUAAGUUGGUGUGUUUGAAACAGAGAAGAGGUUCAUCUGGACUGCCGUGUGGAGGAGGGGAGCGCGCAGGAGGCGGAAACGGUGUCAGGCAGGGCAGCCAGGUGCUCAGCAGGGGAACCAGAUGAAAGAGGCUGCCAUCUAAUAUCUCAGCAAAAGAAGGGCCAGACAGGUAUCUGAGCUCAUGGAAAGGUAGGUGUGGGUGGGGUUGCCCUAGGUUACUGGGCUUGUAUAGAAAAGGA